rnacentral:lncRNA from 1 species
ACUUAGCCCAGCUCCAUGGGGUACUGAGAUACAUGGGGCCGAAAAGGGGUAAUAUGGCCAUCUUUUAUCAGAAAAAGUGACAAAACGGGAAUUUAAAAAAUGAAUUUUCCAUCUGACUUUAUUUCCAAAUACACUUUCUUUUUUAAAAAACCAAUACACUUUCUUUGAGGAUGACAGUAUUAGGAAAUCCAAUUAUACAAAAAAUACUACAUCUAGUCUGGGGUAGAUAUAUUUAUUUUUGGUAACAUACAUUAAGUGGCACUAAUUACACAGUAACUAUAAGGUAACUAACAUGAAACCACAGAACUGUAACUCUGCCACAGCUGCAUGAACUUGGGCUUUUCUGGUUGAGCCCAUUUUCAAAAAACUGCCCACCCCAGAGCUAUGCCAACAAAAUCUGUUACGGAGUAAAGCCCUGAAGUGGUGACUCACCAGAGUACCUUGCAGCUGACAGAUAAUAGGCAGGACAUGUUAGUUAUAAAGUAGUUACAGCCUAAUUCACAAAAGUUACCAACUGUUUCUCUUUCUAGAAAGAAGCAAGAAGUUAAGAAAUUCCUUGAAUUAGCGCCUGGUGUGUCAGGUGGGAGUGCAGAGGAGGGCUGUUAGAGCAGUGUCAAAAGGACCCUGGUGGGCCAGACGGGUUGGACAUCGUUAAUAAUCAUAGUUGGCUUCUAAAUACUGGUAGCAAGAUGACUUCUGAUUUGUAAUCUUAGGUAAAUUAUAGAUAAAUGAAAAAGGCCAGUAAUCAUACACUAAGAUUAAUAAACAGCACUUCAAAAUUAACCGCAUAAGGGCUGUGCUUGCAGCAAGGUUUCACAAGACAAGGCACCCAGAUUUUUUCUUCCCACGUCUAGCUUGCAGAGCAGCUCUCGUAGCCAUUUCAA